rnacentral:rRNA from 1 species
ACGGAGGAUGCAAGCGUUAUCCGGAUUUAUUGGGUUUAAAGGGUGCGUAGGCGGAAUAAUAAGUCAGUGGUGAAAUCCUGCAGCUUAACUGUAGAACUGCCAUUGAUACUGUUAUUCUUGAAUAUAGUUGAGGUAGGCGGAAUGUGUAAUGUAGCGGUGAAAUGCAUAGAUAUUACACAGAACACCGAUUGCGUAGGCAGCUUACUAAGCUAUUAUUGACGCUGAGGCACGAAAGCGUGGGGAUCGAACAGG